CUCAAGCCAACAAUAGAUAAGUACUGAACUAACUAUACAAAGGUUACUUUUUGAUUAAAUAUGAGAGUCAAUGGACAGUUUAAGUCACAAUGUUAGGGUGUGUCUUGGAAUGUUAACAAUGAUUAACGUGAAAUAUUGGUAGAAUUUAUGUCAAUCUCAGAAAGAAAAGAAAAGAUUGACGCAGACUUGAAGUCACCAAACUCAUCUUAGGAAGCGAAACAAGAAAUUAGACACUUCGAUUUGCAUAUAAAUAUCAUUUGAGAUUCAAACUUACUCGUCUAUUGGAGAAGGAAAAACAUGAGUAAAACCUGGCUGAUAAGUGUCGGUGGGGUCAGAGACUGACUAUAAAUAAGUGGGUUGAAAGGAGAGGGGGAGGCCAUCUUCAUCGACGUCUGCCAUUAUCUGCACUGUCCAAAUCCAUAGAGCCUUCUUAGGAUCGCAUGAAUCGCCCUCCAUAACAAGCCUCCGUCUCUAAAAUUUUGGAUAGUUCCAGCAAUUCAGCUCACUUGUGUUUAGUCUAAACAAUCUUUAUAUCAGUUCCUUGUAGCUCAACCCUGUUGCAAAAGAACAUGAUUUGGAUCAGAUCUCAGAUCUCAGUCUGUUUGUUUCUUUAUUUUCUGUUUUUUGGGCUCUUCUCCAUGUUUUAUUUUUCCGUUUUUCUUGAUUCUUCGCCCCUUUUGUUUUUUCGUUGCUUGUAAUCUUCAUGGUCUGGCUAUGGAAGAUAGUUAUUAUGUUCGAUGGGCUGACUAAUGGAUGGAUCUCCAUAUUUGGAUUUAGUUUUCCUUUCCAGAAGCAUUUUGGGUAGACUAGGUAAUUGAUCCCAUUUCCAGAAACCCUUAUGCUUCCUAUGGAUAUGGAGAUGUUCCUCUACAUGGAAUCCAAUUUCACAGUUUUGGGUUUUGAUAAUUGGAUAUCUGUAGAUGAACUGACACACUCAAGUGUCUCUUCUGGGAUCUUCCUGUUUUUGCCAAUACUGCUAUCUUUAUUCCUUUGCGCUCCUCAUAUGCAUGUCUGUGUGUAGAUAUGUUGUAUAUUUUGUACUUAUUUUACACAUGUUUUAUUUAUGUAUUUAGGCUCCCAGUUCACAAUUAGCCUCUCAGGAAU